GGAUGUGAGGGCAAUCUGGCUGUGGUGUCAAUCAUCCCAGUGAUUGCCNCGGUUGAUUAUGCUGAUCCAGCUGGCUCCUGGUGAGUGCUCCCUUCUUCUCUUUUCUUACAACUCCAUAUGUGUCCCUCCCAAAACUGCUUGUUUGACUANAGAGAAUGAUCUUCUAGAAGAGCAGAGCCUGCUGUUCUUUGGUCAAAGGUAUACAAAUAGCUGCACUUCAUAGCUAGAACCUCCAAAAAAGCUUUUAAGAAUGCAAAAGUCUUUGGGACUGUCCCUUCAGGAUGAGCCAACAAUACUCAAACCACAUCAUAUUUGGUUUUCUUA
rnacentral:snRNA from 1 species